rnacentral:tRNA from 1 species
AGGAUAUUAGCUCAGCUGGAAUUAGAGCAGCCGACUUCUAAUCGGCAGGUCAUUGGUUCGAAUCCAAUAUGUCCUA